AGCUUUUCCGAUGGUUGUGCUGCUUCCAGACAUGUAUUUUCGUAUUAAAGCAUUUAACCAAUCACAUUUCAGCCAUCAUUUGUUGCCAGGCAGGGUCAAAGUCAAAGAAGUCUGCCCGGAGGCCUUCACAAUCCGUUCUGCAGGCCCUCUAACACAAAAUAAAUGUCGAUUAAACUGUUGCUUCAACCAAUCAGAUUUUGAGUUGGUUUCACUAGGGCCCUCUAGCAGGCAUACGGCAACGUCACCGUAUUCAGACCCAUUGAUUGGAUAGAAGCCAAUAUGAGGAACUCUACGAGGCCACUGAACACACCGUAGGCGCUCCGAGCGCACGAAGAGGUCAAGCACAAGAUCCUCGCGCACACUACCGCCAACUCCAUGGCAGGAUUCUGGACAAUAUUAUUUGCCAGACACAGACCAGAUUUCAAGACCACGAAAAACUGAUGUUUGUCACGCUCCUCGACCCCCAGAAG